GCUGGACAUGGCAUGUGCCUGUAAUCCCAGCUACCUGGGAGGCUGAGGCAGGAGGAUCGCUAAAGCCCAGGAGUUCUGGGUGGUGGUCUGCUAUGCCCUUCCGGUGUCGCCGUCCGCACUAAGUUCGGCAUCCAUAGUGACUGCCCUAGAGCAGGAACCAACCGGUUAAGUAAGGAGGGGUGAACCGCCCAGGUCGGGACCAGAGCAGGUCAAAAAAACUGUACUGAUUCAUGGUGGGACUGUGUCUGUGAACAGUCACUGUACUCCAGCUGGACAACAUAGUUGAACCCUGUCUCUU
rnacentral:SRP_RNA from 1 species